CAGCCGCCACGGUAAUACGUAGGGUGCGAGCGUUAAUCGGAAUUACUGGCGUAAAGCGUGCGCAGGCGGUUAUUCAAGACAGAUGUGAAAUCCCCGGGCUUAACCGGGGAACUGGCACAGAUACGACCAGUCUGGAGGGAGGUAGGGGGGUCUGGAACUUCCGGUGGAGCGGUGAAAUGCGUUGAGAUCGGAAGGAACGCCCGUGGCGAAAGCGAGGCCCUGGACCUUUUCUGACGCUGAGACGCGAAAGCCAGGGGAGCGAACGGGAUUAGAUACCCCUGUAGUCCCUGUCUCUUAUACC
rnacentral:rRNA from 1 species